GUGGGGAAUUUUGGACAAUGGGCGCAAGCCUGAUCCAGCAAUGCCGCGUGCAGGAAGAAGGCCUUCGGGUUGUAAACUGCUUUUGUACGGAACGAAACGGUCCGGGUUAAUACCCUGGGCUAAUGACGGUACCGUAAGAAUAAGCACCGGCUAACUACGUGCCAGCAGCCGCGGUAAUACGUAGGGUGCAAGCGUUAAUCGGAAUUACUGGGCGUAAAGCGUGCGCAGGCGGUUUUGUAAGACAGGCGUGAAAUCCCCGGUGUCAACCUGGGAAUUGCGCUUGUGACUGCAAGGCUGGAGUGCGGCAGAGGGGGAUGGAAUUCCGCGUGUAGCAGUGAAAUGCGUAGAUAUGCGGAGGAACACCGAUGGCGAAGGCAAUCCCCUGGGCCUGCACUGACGCUCAUGCACGAAAGCGUGGGGAGCAAACAGGAUUAGAAACCCUUGUAGUCC
rnacentral:rRNA from 1 species